GUGUGUAUACAUAUAUAUGUAACUCUACACCCAUGUCAUUUUACCAUAUAAGUUUUAAUUAAAAAUUUUUCAUUGGUAAAUUUAUGCUAUACAUCUAAUAAAAUUGCACUUUAGGUUAUAACUUCAAGCACUAUCUGCAAAUGUAAACGCAAUAUCCACUCAUAUGUAAACCAAGUUUGAAUACAUUUUUCUCUCUCCUUUCAUGUCUCACUGUCUUCAUAUGUAUCAUUAUAUAUGCCUAUACAUAAAUACUAAUACAAAUUUUAAAUAUAUAUGUGCUGCUAUUGAUAAAAAGGAACAACCUGAUUUCCCAGGAACACAAUUCCCUCUCUUGGAGAUUUGUGAAACCACUGAAAAUACUGAUUUAGUCUGUUAUUUAAAACAUGUUUGUGAAGUCAUUAGAUGUACUUAUGGAGACUGAAAUGACUAAAGUAAGACUAAUAUUAAUACAUACAUGUUAUCUAAAUUUAUAGAAAUUAGAGGAUUCAAUCAUGGAGCAUUAUUCAUUAAUGUAUUUAUCCCAAUAAUUCAACAAAUAUUGAUAUAAUAUCUGUUAUGUACCAGAUAUUUGACUUGGUACUUCUUAUAAACUUGUGAGCAUGGUGAGAAUAGUACCUGAUCACAUGAAACUUCAAAUCUAGAGAGCGAUCUUAGGAAAAUGAACACUUAAAGAAAAUUAAUUUAGUGUUAUUAAUUUAAAGAAACUGGUAUCAAUAACUUAAAAAUAGAGUGACGGAAGAAGUGGCAAUAUUUAUAUCUACUUGAGGUUUGAAAAGGAGCUAGGUAUACAAAAUAAUUGUUACGUUGUUUUUUUUCUAGGUAAAGGGAAUGAUAUGUGCAAAGACAGUGUAUUAAUAACAUUUAAUGAAUGUAAAAACUGAAAAGAGAAUAAUUUGAAAGGAGUGUAUUAAAUAAUGGUAAGAGUUACACCAGUUAGACUUGAGAAACUAGCAAGGGGGAAGUCUGUGAGGGUCUUGUGAAUCAGAGCAAGACACUGGAAUUUGAUUCUAAUUUCAAUGGAAAAACAAUCGAAUAGAAACAAAUGUGAUCUGAUUUAUAUUUUGAAAGCUUAAUUUGGUUCUGUAUGGAGGAUGGAUUGUAUUGAGUCAAGAAUGGAAAUAGGGAUAUCAGUUAGGUAACAGUUCUCUAUUCCAUGUAGGGGAUUUAUAUUUGUAUCACAGGUGAUUUUGCAAUUGUUGUAUGGUGAUAUGAGAUGAAAUAUCAAAGAAAGAACAGGUGAGGCUCUUUUUCAGAAAUUACAAUUUACCAAUCAACUUAAUUAUGAAAUAGUUAUUUUCUGUAUGAAACUAUUUUUAAUUAAAAUAUACAAUUCUCUACAGACCAUCUACAUUGUGAUUAUAUAACUUCAAAUUUGAAUAUAAAACAAAGAACACAUCUGCUGCACAAGAAUGCACAUCUGAAAAUACAUCUGGACAGUUAAUUUAAAUUUUUAAGUUUGACUUAAAAAAUCUGUACUAUUAAACUUUAAUCAUUCUGAAACUAGAAAAUAACAAAAUCUUACAGUUCAUAAGGUAAGUUCAAUAUAAAUAAUUUGCAACACUUUUAUUAAUAUGAAUUUAUUAUGUUCUUACUUGGCACACACAGUUCUGCAUUUGGCUUGUCUCUGUUUUGCCUACAAACAAUUAUAGAUAGCUACAGGUUUCUAUAGUAGAUAGUGACUGUUGAGUUGAGAAAUAUACCAAAGAAAGAAAUUGAAAGUCAUUUCAUUAUAAGGACAUUUACUUUGACAUUUCUCCAUAACUCAGAAUUUUUUCAGUUUGAGGUGGAGUCACAUUAGCCUAUUUCACAAUGUUUUUUAAUUGCCAUGUGGGUUGGAAUACUUAUUUUAAGUUGACUAACAAAUUAUUUUUUAUACAAUGAUGAACCAAAGGAGAGAAAAUAUAAUCAGAAAUUUACUCUGCUAGUACAGUUGGUUGCAUUUUUAAAGGAGAGAUGUUCCAUUUUCUUGUCUUACAAUCAUCUAAACUUUAUUUAAAAUGUGUAACUUAAAACUUGAUAGGAAGCAGAACUCAUUACAGAAACUGAAAAGACGGGAAAUUUACUUAAUAGGCUACUCUGGCUUUUAGAACAGGAACAUGGGGACAAGGAAUGACUAAUUAGAUACAAAUAAACAAACUCAGAAAUUUUAAAUCUAGUAUUAAUGAUAAAAUCUCAAAAGUAGGAAUAUUAAUGUCAAGCACUGUAUAUCAUUAAGCAGUGAGAGUGGCACUCAUUGAUUCCAGGCUUUAAGAAGCCAAGUAAGGGUUUCAGAUCGCAGAAGGUGCAAUUGUGACAUUAAUAGCAACCCUGUUAAAUACUUAUCAGUCUCAUACUCAUUUUUCAAGCGAAAGGGUAGAAGUAUUGAGUGUUUAUGCAUUUGCAAAGCUAGUAGGUGGUGAGUAUGAAAUAGGUCAUUAGGGCUUAGAGUUACUCCUUUAAUCACUACACUACACUGCCCUUCUCACCCACAUAAAAUAAGUCCUUUCCAAAGCUAUUAAAAUUAUUUUCAAAUAUGCCAACACAUUAUUUACCAAUGCAUUUUUCAAUGUGUUUGUGAAGUACAUGUCUUCGGGGUCUUAAAAGGUGUUAUAGAUGCAAAAUGGGCGAUUUACAAAUUAUAAAUCCACUCCAACUUCUCCGUUUCUUUGUUAUCUAUACUUGCAUAUUUUUUCCUUCUUUUGGUUCCUAGUCAAUCAUCAGAAUAAACUAUUAAUUGUUUGCUUGGUACAUUGGGAACCAAUCUCAAUAGUGGCCAAUAAUAAAUAUAUAUGCCAUAAAUUAUUUAAUAUAUUGAUGCUCUUGAAAUACACUUCAGUUGAAAAUGGCUCAUUUACUUUAAUGGGCAUUGCAGAAUUCUGUGAGGUUCUCAGGGCAGGUAGUGGCACUCAAUGACCAGGGCAAAUGAGUACAAUAAACAGCAGGGCCAAUGUGGUAAUCAGAAAUCUCUCAUAUUCAGGAGUCUUCAAUAGCAGCUAGACCACAUGAUUGGCAACCGGCUAAGAAUCCACUUAUUAGAUAUUUUUAAAAUAAAAUAUAAUUAGGCUGCAGAAGCGGGGGUUUGAUUUGAAGUAAUAGAAUUAUUACUGUCAAAUUAAUUCUAAACUCUUUAUUUUACAGGCUCAGAAAGACCUACAACAAGAUAAAUACAUUCUCAGAAUCUUCUUUCUUGCCUUCUCCAAAGAGAGAAAUAACUAUGCAAUUUGGAGAAUGAAACACUUAGAUCUUUUGAGUAUAUGUUGACAGAGGUCCUAAGUUUCAUUAAUCUGAAAACUACAACAUGCUUUCCUUUCCUUAGUCACGGUAGUAGCUUAAGCACUAAGUGAUAAAUGAGGACUGCAUGAAGUUUUCCUCAAUGUAAGCCUAGAUUUAUCCUAAAAUUAAUCUACUAUUCUUACACAAUUUUCUAGAUUUCUAGUUAAGGAAUAAAUAUUUUUUACAAUUAGAACAAUACCCGAAGAAUUAGAAGUCGGAAUUCACAAACACACAAAUGGGUGAAAGUAAAAUAAAGAAGGGAAGACUACUACAGAGGUGAUAUGCCCUUCUCGACCCUUCAUUACUGGGGCUAUAUGAUGGUGAUAUUAUACAAGAGCCUGACCUUUACCUUUCCCUUCAUCAACAUUGCAUCUGUCAAGUUCACAAUUACAGCCACUACUAAAUCCAGCAGCAUUCAAUGCUUAUAUUACAGAGGCAAGAAAGACUUCAUUCAAAACAACUGCAGAGGGGAGAGAAACUUAAUUCAACUCUGCUGAAACAAAAGUCAAGAAAAAACGUAGAACAAGAACUGGAGUUUGUCUUACAAAUCUUUAUGUAAUAGAAUUUCAGGAAGAGAGGCUACCAUGGACUUUGGAGAAUCUGUCCUGAAAGGUUUAAUGAAGAAUGGAUCUGUGCAGCUCCAGAAGUGGACAGUAAUGGAUGCUAUGCUCUGCCACUCUCAUCUCCUUUUCAGGGCCAAAGGACUUAUUCCACAAACUGCUGGAAGUGCUGCUGAUUGACAGCCCUCAGCUCUCAGCUCAUCUUGUAAAUUGUCCUUACCUUAAGAGGUCCACUUUGCACAAACUCAUGCCCUAUAUACAUGGCUAACAUAUGUCCAAUAUCCAAUCUACAUAGAAGAAUUAAGUCCCUACCCUCUCACAUCAACUUGGUACAAUUCUGAAAGGAUGAAAUCUUGUGAUUUCCUUACAGACAAUUGCUCUAUCACUCUUUCUCUCCUUUCCAUAUGAAUGACAAUCCUGAAAAUACUGUCCAAUACAUUUUCUGCAUUCAAAGUCCCAUUUUGGAGUCUAUAUUCCAGGCAUCUCAGCUAGCAACAUUGCUAGAUUUUUAUUGUUUUUUUCACAGGUCCAUUUCUUCCAAUAUACCUCACAUAAUAAAUAAAAGAAUAUGCAUCAGAAUACCAUUGGAUUGUGGCUUUGCCUUUUUAAUUAUUUCGAUUGAUUCUCCAUUGUUUAUAACACUGUGUUCAAAUUCCUUAGCUAAAGGAAGUCCUCAGAUUCUGGUGCUAAUUUUCAAAGCCAGCUUCAAAACCUACUAUUCUGCAACAAAACUUUCUACUUCUACUUUCUACUUUAAUUUUCACCAUCUAUUCUUAUAUGUCAUAGCUAUCCCUCCUAUACACUAUGACUUUGUUUAUGAUGAUCACUUGGAAUAACUUACUCUAUACCUUUCCAGACCCUAUCUAUCUUGUAAAAUCCUUCUCAACUCUCUUAUUAACCCUUAGAUUUGUAUUAGCUAAUAGUCACCCUCAUCCUACUCACUAUUCAUAAUUAUCAUCUUUAUUAUUCAAAAAAUCACCGUGAGAAACGAUUGAGCAUCUUAAAUGCAGCUACUGUUUUUAUAAAACAUAACAAUAGCCCAAUCAAGCAAUAAAAAAACUUAAAAAUAGCACAAUUUUGUUAUUAAAAUUUUUAAUUAAUUUAUGGUUUGUAUUGUGUCACCCUUUCCUAAUAUUUAUCUAUGUAAACUUUAGAUUUCCCAAUAUAUUAAUAAUUAAUAUAAGCACUUAAACACAGUAAGGAAUAUGAUUUUUUUAUAUCUGUCUCUGUCUCUGUCCCCCUCUCUCUCUCUUAUUCUCUUCACCUUUAUGAAAUUAAAGUGAUACAAAAAUAUGCAUUCAAAAAUUGCUUGUUGAAUUGAACUGACAGAAUAUAAAUUAGUUUGGAUAAUAUAGGUACGCUUUAUUAGAAAAGAGUGAAAUAAUAUCAUAAAAUAGCCCGAGAACCUUUUAUGUUUUCAAAAAUUAAAAUUAAACAUAAUCUAUAAAGAAUAUGUGUGAAGAUUCCUUUAUGUCACAAAGUUAAAAAAUGAGAACUAAGUCAAUGUAAAAACAAUAAAAACAUUAUCUUUAAAUUUGGAAUGCAUAGAACAAGA
rnacentral:lncRNA from 10 species